UAAAGGGUUGCAAACGAGAAAUCGAAUAAAAUAAUAAGAUGGUAUGUGCAGUGAUUAUACCGAAGAUAUUACGCUAUGGCGGAAAUUUAAAAUGGGACGAGAAAUAUUUUUCCCCGUCGUCCAUUUAAAUAAAUUUCAUGAAUAUCGUAAUUAAAAUUACACGAAUAUAUCCCGUUAAACAUGUCGCUCGAUAUUCGACUAGAAUUCUAUUUUGUUUGGUGCAAUAGACACGCGAUAAUGAACACGCAAUUACUGAGGUAAUCAAUUCGUCGGUUUCUGAUCUCUCCUCGAUGGAAGAUGAUUGAAUUACUCUUACUUACUGAUUGCCAAUUAACACUUUGUCCGGCUUGUGUCCGGCUACGAGUUUAGAUUCAAAGGAAGAAUCAAAUUCGUCGUUUUCGAAAAAAACGAAGGCGUAACGUUUCAACGCCAUCCCAAACACUUGCGUGAAUCCUACAUACGAGAUUCGAAAAGGAAUGAAAAGCCUGGGGCAAACACACGAAUACGAUGUUAGAACGUUUCUCGGGGAAACGGUGGACACAAAAGAAACACGAAACGGCACUCCACCAGA